CUGAGGGCUUAUAUGGCCACUGAAAGGAAUGCAGUCCUGGCUGAGUACUUUUUCCAGUGAAGAAAUGUUAAUUUGUUCCAUGCCAUCCCCAUUUUUUGUGCACCUAUGUUUAAAAUCAACUUUCACUGAUCACCUCAGAGAGAGAGAAUUUGUAAAUACACUGUAUUAAAUCAUGUUUGGUAUCAAACUGUGAACCAUGCUGAUAAAAGAAGAAUUGACCCAAACUACUCAACCUCAGUCUAAUGAGAUCAAAAGACAUCAGGCAAGAACUAAGCCACUCCUUCCCUGCUUUCAGCUUCUGAUUGUUUUCUGUUCACUGAACUCUCCAAUAUUAUUUGGUGAUAAGGACUAGGGAGAAGUGAGUAAGUUAUCAAAAUAAAUCAAAUAUGUCAAGAUGUGGGUAAUACCAAGUCUUCUAAGUGUGUAUAGAAAAAACAUGUGUGAAUAUGGAGAGCAAUUGUAUCUUUAAUGUACCUGGAUAUGGGAAUUCAUUUAUAAAUAAAUAUUUUAUCUGUCAGCUCGAGUA